CCAACGUUGACAUCCAGCAGUUUCUGUCUGGCACUGUCUGUGUGGCAUGAGGGAGCAUAGACAUUUUGUCAAUGAUGUAUGGUCCCAUUCCACGUCGUUGGAGAGCAUCUGUGUCCCCGGCUUUUAGCUGGUGAGGACUGAAUCCUAUAUAUUCCUAGACCUUCUUUGUCUGCUGUGACAGGGGAGACAAACCAUAUAGGGUACAUGU